GUGUCAGCAGCCGCGGUAAUACGAAGGGGGCUAGCGUUGUUCGGAAUUACUGGGCGUAAAGCGCACGUAGGCGGCUCAUUAAGUCAGGGGUGAAAUCCCGGGGCUCAACCUCGGAAUUGCCUCUGAUACUGGUGAGCUUGAGUCCGAGAGAGGUGAGUGGAACUCCGAGUGUAGAGGUGAAAUUCGUAGAUAUUCGGAAGAACACCAGUGGCGAAGGCGGCUCACUGGCUCGGUACUGACGCUGAGGUGCGAAAGCGUGGGGAGCAAACAGGAUUAGAAACCCCGGUAGUCC
rnacentral:rRNA from 1 species